rnacentral:tRNA from 2 species
CCGACCUUAGCUCAGUUGGUAGAGCGGAGGACUGUAGUAUGAGCAGAUUAAUCCUUAGGUCGCUGGUUCGAAUCCGGCAGGUCGGA